UCCGGCAUGGUCUAGUGGCUAGGAUACCUGGCUCUCACCCAGGAGGGCCCGAGGUUCGAUUCCCGGUGGUCGGAA